rnacentral:rRNA from 1 species
UACGUAGGUGGCGAGCGUUGUCCGGAUUUACUGGGCGUAAAGGGCGUGCAGGCGGUUUGUUAAGUGCAGGGUGAAAGCUCCCGGCUCAACUGGGAGAGGUCCUUGCAUACUGGCGAACUCGAGGGAGGCAGAGGAAAGUGGAAUUCCCGGUGUAGUGGUGAUAUGCGUAGAUAUCGGGAGGAACACCUGUGGCGAAGGCGGCUUUCUGGGCCUUACCUGGCGCUGAGACGCGGAAGCGUGGGGAGCGAACCGG